CAGGAAAUAAGCAGGGGAUAGGAACCCAGUAAGACAUCACAAUACUGCUUAUUCAAAAUUGGGGAUAGAAUUAGGGUUCCAUGGAGGAGGGAGUCUUCUGAAGGAUUUCAUGUCUGAAAAAAGUGUGGAAAGUGCUGUCCUAGACUACAUGUGAUGUUCUACUUUAAUCAUCCUGGUUGAUUUGUGGUUCGUGGAAAGCAGACAGACAAACAGCAGUUCUCCCAGAAGAGACCACAGCAAGUGACUGGUGAAAGCAUCUAUGGAAACUCCUCUGGAGUGGCGGAGAUGGUGGUGGUGAUCCUCCUUCUUUCAGACUUUCGCAAGUUUGAGGCAUCAGGAGACGGGAAGCAGGCCAGAAGCGGCUUCACCCCCCAAAAGACUCUAUCAUAUUGAACCCUUUAAUAAAUUGUAUCUACUUUUCAAGAUUUUUUUUUGUGUAACUUGUAUCCUUUAACUAUGGACUGUAUCUAUCUCUUAUAUAAAAUGUAUAAAACCUGUUGUAUAAAAUAUAUCGAAGAUGGAGCCCAGAGACAGCCCGCUGUGACCCCACAAAAAAAAUCCCCUGGGAACCAGAAGGUUGGGCAAACCUGUCUGGCCAUUUGCCAAGUCAGGUAAUCACUGGGUCCAUUGUUUAUGUGCAUGCAAAGAUAGGUGACUUCCCCUGCCAGACCAGGUUAGUUAUUUAUUUUGUGUCAAAAGCAUUGUACAAAAAAUACAUUUCAAAUAAUGGAAAUAAAAAAAAAGAAAUCACAAGCAACUAAAUAGUUUUGGACCAAAAGCGGGCAACAGCAACUGCAUUGUCUGACCAGGUAAGACCAAGAUUGUUUGUAUAGCUGUAUUGCUCACCUGAGGCUGAGAGAUAGUUACCUAUAGAAACAGCAUGUGUACUUGUUUAUUCCUUUAUUCAACAACUGAGCUCCCGAUGUCCCAGGAUCAUCACCUUUGUUCCAGGAAUCUCACACCUUUGUUUCCUGAAGCUCCUAUCUUUUAUCAGCACAGAACUGGACAGUUGAGCAAAUCAAAAGCUCAUUAACAUUUCUUUGAUGUUGUAUUUCUGGAUUAUGCCUCCUUCCAGGGGGGCUUUGCACCAGCUGAUUGGCCCCUUACCCGAUCAGUCCUCAGCCAUCAUUCUCUGCAUCAAGGAAAUCUCUACCUGCAGGUGGCGACAUCAGCGGAGCCCCCAACCAAUCAGGGUGCAGAUCUUGACCAGGCUCUUUUUCAGCCAAUCAAAAGAGGGAGUGGGAGGUUUGAAUGUAUAAGACAUCUUACUUUCUCUGUAUAUUGAUGCUUGUACAUUUGAAUCAUCAUGCUUGUACUUGCAUUCCUUUUGGCCCAAUUGUAUUAAACCUCUGUGGCUUGUUUUCAACCUGGUAAGUUGUUUUUCUGCCCUUUCGGUUUAGCAUAUGCUUAUUUGGGAGGGAUCAUCUAAUCCACGGUCCUAGCUAAACACUAUUUGUAGACUAAGCAGUGCUUUCAAACACUCUGUAGUGUUAGGCCCUUGACUGCACAUUUUAUUACCCUUGGGGUGAGAAGGGCAGGAUAGAAAUGAUGGAAAUAAAUAAAUAAAUUAUAACAAAAUAGUGUUUGACUCCCUUUCCCAAUCUCCAA